rnacentral:tRNA from 1 species
GGCCACGUACCCAAGUAGCUAAGGGAACGGUCUGCAAAACCGUGAUUCAUCGGUGCAAGUCCGAUCGUGGCCU